rnacentral:tRNA from 1 species
UUUAGAGUGGCAGAGCCAGGUAAAUUGUACAAGAUCUAAACCCUUGCAUCAGAGGUUCAAAUCCUCUCCCUAAUA